rnacentral:rRNA from 1 species
GAUGGGCCCGCGCCCGAUUAGCUAGUUGGUGAGGUAAUGGCUCACCAAGGCUUCGAUCGGUAACCGGCCUGAGAGGGCGAUCGGUCACACCGGAACUGAGACACGGUCCGGACUCCUACGGGAGGCAGCAGUGGGGAAUCUUGCGCAAUGGGCGAAAGCCUGACGCAGCAACGCCGCGUGGAGGAUGAAGGCCCUUGGGUUGUAAACUCCUGUCGGCUGGGAAGAAAUCUUUUGCGGCGAAUACCCGCAGACGUUGACUGUACCAGCAAAGGAAGCCCCGGCUAACUCUGUGCCAGCAGCCGCGGUAAUACAGAGGGGGCCAGCGUUAUUCGGAAUUAUUGGGCGUAAAGGGCGCGUAGGCGGCCAUGCGUGUCUUCCGUGAAAUCCCUCGGCUCAACCGAGGACGUGCGGAAGAAACUGCAAGGCUCGAGUCCGGAAGAGGGGGGCGGAAUUCCCAGUGUAGCGGUGAAAUGCGUAGAUAUUGGGAGG